UGUGUUCAUCAUCUGCUUCAGCAAAACCUGGGACUCAGGGUACUGCUGAUGACCCAUUAGCUGAUAUUUCUGAAGUCUUAAACACAGAUGAUGACAUUCUUGGAAUAAUCUCAGAUGAUCUUGCAAAAUCAGUUGAUCAUUCAGAUAUUGGCCCCAUUGCUGAUGAUGCUUCCUCUUUGCCUCAGCCAAGUGUCAGUCAGAGUUCACGACCAUUAAGUGAAGAACAGCUAGAUGCCAUCCUCAGUCCUGAACUAGACAAAA
rnacentral:lncRNA from 1 species